rnacentral:rRNA from 1 species
UACGAAGGGGGCUAGCGUUGCUCGGAAUCACUGGGCGUAAAGGGUGCGUAGGCGGGUCUUUUAAGUCAGGGGUGAAAUCCUGGAGCUCAACUCCAGAACUGCCUUUGAUACUGAAGAUCUUGAGUUCGGGAGAGGUGAGUGGAACUGCGAGUGUAGAGGUGAAAUUCGUAGAUAUUCGGCGGAACACCAGUGGCGAAGGCGACUCACUGGCCCGAUACUGACGCUGAGGCGCGAA